rnacentral:rRNA from 1 species
GACGAACGCUGGCGGCGUGCCUAAUACAUGCAAGUAGAACGGUGAAGGAGGAGCUUGCUUCGCUGGAUGAGUUGCGAACGGGUGAGUAACGCGUAGGUAACCUGCCUGGUAGCGGGGGAUAACUAUUGGAAACGGUAGCUAAUACCGCAUAAGAGUAGAUGUCGCAUGACAUUUGCUGAAAAGUUGCAGUUGCAUCACUACCAGAUGGACCUGCGUCGUAUUAGCUAGUUGGUGAGGUAACGGCUCACCAAGGCGACGAAACAUAGCCGACCUGAGAGGGGGGUCGGCCGCACUGGGAGUGUGACACGGCCCAGACUCCUUCGGGAGGCAGCCGUACGCCAUCUUCGGCAAUGGACGGAAGUCUGACCGAGAAACGCCGCGUGCGUAAAGAAGGUUUCCGGGUCGUAAAGCUCUGUUGUCAGGGAAGAACGAGUUUGAGCGUGGAACGUUCCCAGUGUGACGGUAACUUAUAAGAAAGCGACGGCUAACUACGUG